ensembl:misc_RNA Y_RNA Y RNA
GGCUGAAGUUAGUGGUUUAUCUGAAUUGAUGGUUACAAAUCAAACUCCUUAUUCUACUCUUUCCCUCUUCUCACUACUGUAUUUGACUAGUCUAAA